rnacentral:rRNA from 1 species
CCCUUAGAUGUUCUGGGCCGCACGCGCGCUACACUGACGGAGGCAGCGAGCGUGUCCUUCGCCGGCAGGUGCGGGCAAUCUUGCGAGUCUCCGUCGUGCUGGGGAUAGAUGGUUGCAAUUGUCGAUCUUGAACGAGGAAUUCCUAGUAAGCGCGAGUCAUCAGCUCGCGCUGAUUACGUUCCUGCCCUUUGUACACACCGCCCGUCGCUACUACAGAGUGCCCGUGUCCAAGAAACGGUCGGACCUGUGCGGCCUCUCCGGGCGACCGGAGGGCCGUUACGGGGAAGACCCUUUAUUUGACGCGGGUCGAUGAAGUAAAAGUCGUAACA